rnacentral:tRNA from 1 species
GCGGGUGUGGCGAAACCGGCAAACGCAGCGGUCUAGAAAACCGCCGUCCCCCCCAGGACUUGUGGGUUCGAAUCCCACCACCCGCA